rnacentral:rRNA from 1 species
GACGAACGCUGGCGGCGUGCUUAACACAUGCAAGUCGAACGGAAAGGCCCUGCUUUUGUGGGGUGCUCGAGUGGCGAACGGGUGAGUAACACGUGAGUAACCUGCCCUUGACUUUGGGAUAACUUCAGGAAACUGGGGCUAAUACCGGAUAGGAGCUCCUGCUGCAUGGUGGGGGUUGGAAAGUUUCGGCGGUUGGGGAUGGACUCGCGGCUUAUCAGCUUGUUGGUGGGGUAGUGGCUUACCAAGGCUUUGACGGGUAGGCGGCCUGAGAGGGUGACCGGCGACAUUGGGACUGAGAGACGGCGCAGACUCCUACGGGAGGCAGCAGGGGGGAAUAUUGCACAAUGGGAGGAAGCCGGAUGCAGCAACGCCGCGUGCGGGAUGACGGCCUUCGGGUUGUAAACCGCUUUCGCCUGUGACGAAGCGUGAGUGACGGUAAUGGGUAAAGAAGCACCGGCUAACUACGUG